UUCAACUGAGUAAUUCCAAACAUCCACCAACACGCCUCCUUAGAAAUGGCUAAAGCAAACAAAGAAAGGAAUUGCGACACUCAAAGGGGAAAAAGUGCCUUUAAAGGGCUUUUCUGAACAACACUAUCAUCACCAACACUCUAAUGCAACCAUCAUACAAUCUCCAAAACCACUCUCAUACCACCAAGACAAUUGUUGCAAACCUAGCCACUCAAUAAUGAACCUCGUUCACACUAUCUCAUCCACCACCACCACCCAAACAAUUGUGGAUACAGCAUCUAACAGUGUCACCAUCAAUGCAAACUCCAUUGCCACCUUCUUGACCAUCACCUGACCAUAUCCACCUUCAUCACCAGUAUCACCAUGGUCAAAACACACCCGCAACAGUAAUAUUCCCUAGCUAAUAUACAUAUUCCCUAGUAACAUUUAGGAAAAAUACUUUUUAUGCUUUUUACUUACUUUUACUUCACAAUCAAUACAACAAAAAACACUUCUGUUACUCCU
rnacentral:lncRNA from 1 species